GGACCAUGUAUGGACAGAUGUGAUCCUUAACUGUCGUUGUUCUUGGCGUGUUGCUGCCAUUUUACUGGGUAGAAUCUAUGCACGGCCGAGACCUCAGUCUAUCCACUGUACGAGUGUUUAAUGAAUUUACUCUUCUCCAUGGCGCGUCCAUGAGGGCAGAAAUUUCAUGCUUCAAAUCUGCUUGGCGAGAACCUUUUCAGGCCUGGAGAUGUCCUUGUGAACUGGUCAGUGAUUUUCGGAAAGUGGAGCUGCAUUCAAGGUUUGAGAUAUAGUUUAUGUCGACUGGAUGAGUUGUUUGAUCUCUUUGCCCUGUUCUUCGAGAUGGGUUGCGAUGAAAACUCUUGGGGCCAUGAGCAACACUUGAGGCUCCUCUUCAUAAGCACAAAAGCUGCAGCAAGCAGAAAUUGGAGAGGUAAACCUAAUAGUGUUCAUUAUGAGCUAAUCUGGACCAUGUACAGAGUCCGCCACAGUUCAAACAAAAUCUCUGUACUGAAGGUGGUGUGGCGUUGAAGCUGUCAUGUCCUCGGCCAUGCCCGCCCAUUGAAAUCUCUGUUAUUUUCCUCUACUUGUAUUCCACCUUUUCGUUGCAAUUCAAUUUUGGGAU